rnacentral:rRNA from 1 species
UACGUAGGGUGCAAGCGUUGUCCGGAAUUAUUGGGCGUAAAGAGCUCGUAGGCGGUCUGUCGCGUCGGCUGUGAAAACCUGGGGCUCAACCCCGGGCCUGCAGCCGAUACGGGCAGACUAGAAUUCGGCAGGGGAGACUGGAAUUCCUGGUGUAGCGGUGGAGUGCGCAGAUAUCAGGAGGAACACCGGUGGCGAAGGCGGGUCUCUGGGCAGUAACUGACGCUGAGGAGCGAAAGCGUGGGGAGCGAACAGG